rnacentral:rRNA from 1 species
GAUGAACGCUGGCGGCGUGCCUAAUACAUGCAAGUCGAGCGAACGGACGAGAAGCUUGCUUCUCUGAUGUUAGCGGCGGACGGGUGAGUAACACGUGGAUAACCUACCUAUAAGACUGGGAUAACUUCGGGAAACCGGAGCUAAUACCGGAUAAUAUUUUGAACCGCAUGGUUCAAAAGUGAAAGACGGUCUUGCUGUCACUUAUAGAUGGAUCCGCGCUGCAUUAGCUAGUUGGUAAGGUAACGGCUUACCAAGGCAACGAUGCAUAGCCGACCUGAGAGGGUGAUCGGCCACACUGGAACUGAGACACGGUCCAGACUCCUACGGGAGGCAGCAGUAGGGAAUCUUCCGCGAUGGGCGAAAGCCUGACGGAACAACGCCGCGUGAGUGAUGAAGGUCUUCGGAUCGUAAAACUCUGUUAUUAGGGAAGAACAUAUGUGUAAGUAACUGUGCACAUCUUGACGGUACCUAAUCAGAAAGCCACGGCUAACUACGUG